CUCUGGGGCCCAUCCAGGAGAAGGUAAGGAAGGAUGGAAGGGUGACUUGCCUUUCGGAUGGGACUUCAGAGUUGAAACAGGAAAAAUUGGAAGAGGACAGGACAGGACUGGGUUUUUAAUCUUGAGUGCAUGAGUGGGGGACCCAUUAAAGAAUUUUAAGCAGGGGAGUGACAUGGUCAGAUUCAUGUUAUCAGGAGAACAGUGGUGGUAUUCAGAGAAUGGAUAUGAGGUGUUAAAACCAGAGGCAGGAGAGUUGGGAAAUUAUUAAAGUAGUCCAGGAAGAGGAUGCUGGGGGCCCGACAUGGGCAAGUAAUGAGUAAGGAUAGAGAGGAAGGAAGGAAUGGAAGGAAUACUUAAGAGACAAGUGGAUUCACAGAUUAAGAAGGAGCCUAAAAUGAUUCUCAGAUUUUUGGCUUCAGUGGCUGGGUAAUCAUUAACCAAAGAUAGAGACUAUAGGAAGAGGACAGAUUUAGGUGGAGAAGAUCUAAGUUUAAUUUUGGAUAUAUGGAGUUUGAGAAUGUAUGGGAAUCAAAGUGAAGAUGUCACUGAGUCACCUGGAUAUUUAAAUCCAUAGCUCUGGGGAAGUUUCAGGAAGGUAUGAGAACAUCACAUAAUGUGGUGGGUGAAACUAUGAUAGUGGGUAAGCUCAGCCCAAGGAGAGUGUGUAAAGAGAAGAGCAGUGAAAACAGGUUGGAAGCUGGGAGAACAUUCAAAGUUAAUAAAAAAGGCCUGGAGGAUGGGGGGACUCAUUUCAUGAUAUAUGCAUAUAUCAAAUCACCACGAUGUACACUUUAAAUACCUUACAAUUUUAUUUGUCGGUUAUACCUCAAUAAAACUGAAAUUUUUAAAAAGGGGAGAAGGUAGAAUAAGAGGAACUCGUGAAAUAAACUAGAAAGAGCCAACCCGCAAUGUCAAAUGCAGCCUGGAAGGCUGUUAAAAUAAAGAGCAAAAAGUCUUCUUUGCAUUUGGCGAUAGGUUAGCGGUAGGGAGGGUGGUGUUUUUGUUGACCUUUGAGGUUUAGUUGAAGGUGGAUGCCAGAAAGCAGUGGGUUGAGCAGUAAAAGAGAAGAGGGGAAAUAGAACAUAGGCUGAUCUGUCGAGAUGCUUGGCCAAAGUGAGAAGGGAAGAUGAAAAGGGAAUACAGAGGAAUGCGGCAUUGAGAAAGUGUUUUUGUGUUUUCAGGACGAGAGAAACUUAAACAUGUUUAGAUAUAGAAGUGAAAGGAUUUGUAGAGAAGAGAGAAUUGAAGAUUCAAGAAGUGUGGGGGAUAUCUGAUGAGCUGAGCGUUGGAGCGUGCUGGCCAGCUCCAUUGUGUAUCAGAGCAAUCUAAGAAUUAAAUAUGGCUCCAGCUGCAGAGGAAGAUGCUUUAUAUUUGGGUGUCCUUGGGUUGGCCCCUGCAAGCCAAAAGCAAAACAAAACAAAACGAAAACAUCCCAGAAUAUGAACUCCAAUACUUUACACGUACAUAAAUCCUAAUUCUACAGGGCCUAAGAAUCCAUGACAGGGUUGACAGCUGCAAACAUUUUUUUGAGGUCUAAAAUGUGUUCUGGGUGUUACCAAAUCUAGGAUGACAAAUAUGAUGGAAUAGAAUUGACUUAUUCAAAGAAUACACAGUCAAAUUAUCUUCUUUAUGGAGAAAGGAUAGUUUGUUUAUUUUAAAAGAAUGUCAAUAUCAUCAUCUUCCAUUAUUGAUUACCAGGAACCCACAGAGUUUAUGCUACUGCAUUCGAGAACAGAUAUCCGCAGACAACCACAAAUGAAUUCCUCAGAUUGAUUCAUAGAUUAAUCAAAAAAUAGAUAUACAGUUGGAAUUGUUUUCUAAGAUACCACUGACCCCCCUAAAUAGAGAGUGUAUAAAAUUAGCAAUUCACAAACUAUAGGUGUGUAACUUGUAUACAUUGGUGGAUUCAGAAUAGUUUAGAAAAUGAAAUUUUCCAUCGCUUCUAUAAAAUAAGGAUAUUAUCAAGGUGUAUAUACAAAAGGAGACUUUAGCAAGGAUGAAAAAGAUGAUUUAUAUCAAGUUUUAUGAAAAGAAAUAGUAUAUAUGUUUACAGAGCCCUAUGAACAGGAAGUAUUCCAGCUCCUCUGCUCACCCGGAAAAGUUCCUUAAUCCUUCUAGGCGUCGGUCCCCUCAGGAUCCUGGAGACACCUCUGCCCCAUGGGCUGUUGGAAGGAUGAAGUGAGAUAAUGUCUGUGAAGAGCUUAGCACUGGGGUUGGCCUAAAGUGAUCAUUUGUUACAUUUCAGCUAGUCGUAUUAUUUCGGUUGUCUUUUAUUUGGUCUAUUUUGAUAAUUUUAAUACUUAUUUUUUCUUGUUUUGUUAGCAAGAGUUUUUAGGAACGCCUGUGAAAUGAGAGGCAACCAAGACAUGGGAAAUGAGAAGCAGAUCACACCAAAACAGGCCGCUAAAGAGAGUUGGCAACAUUAGCAAUGAUCUAUAUUUUUGAAAUUCAGGAAAUUGCAAUUGGUGCAUUAACGCUUUCCUUAAAAGGGCAUAAAGACUUCUCAUUGUUUUCCCCUCUUACUUCACACAGGCCUUUCUUUAAAUAGUCAAUGCAAUUUGCAGAUAUUUAUUAAGUGCACUCUACUACACUGUGCUACCAAGAACAGAGUCAGGGAAGGCGCUGCCCUCCCUGUUGGGUAAUUUGCACUCUAGUGCCAGCUAUGCCAAUGACCUAAGAGGGCAUGGUCUUAAGAUGAAGGCGCAAGGAGAACUAUAAAUGAAAUUCUAGGGGGACAAGUUCUGUCAUUUUCGGGAAGCUCAGGAAUAACAUCAUGGGUGAUACAGCAUUUGAGACGGGGCUUGAAGGAUGGGCAGCAUUUUAGUAGGAAAAAUGGUAGCGGCAGAAGGAUUGAGGAUGGGGAAUGUGAGGAGGGCAGCUUUCCAGGUAAACAUAGUAGCAGGAAUCAAGGCAUGAGGCCAGAAGCAGAGAUGUGUUUGGGAAAGAAGAAUUCUGGGGGUUCAGAAUCCUACAAGUUAAUCCAAUGCCUCGCACACUUCUUAAUAAUCUGCCUUUCUUCUUUCCUGGUAUGGUAGAGACCAUUAGUUGUUUCCCAAUAUCUGUAUUUCUCUUCAUCCUUAGUAGUAAAACCCUCGAUAUUUACCUGGACACUUGGCCUCCCAGAAGACUAUAUUUCCCAGCCUUUUUUGCAGUUAUGACCAUGUAACUAAGUUCUGGCCAAUGGAAGGUAAGUGGAAUUACCAAUUAUGACUUCUAGGAAGUGUCCUUAACAGAGACUUUUUAAAAAAAAAACUCUCUCUGUUCUCUUAUCUGGAAUGCAGAUUUGAUGGCUGGAGCUCUAACUGCCAUAUUGUAUCAUGAGGUUGGAACCAUGUGCUGAGGAUGGUGGAGCAGCAACAUAGAAGGAGCUAUGAGCUGGAAGUAGGCAGGCCUCUGGUCAUCAUGGAACUCUCCUAUGGACUGUGCCUACUUCCAGUUUUGGUUUUCUGUCAUUCACAGGGAACUCAGUCUUUACUAAGAGACCUAGUCUCAGUUGGAUGGGUUUAUCAGUUUUGCCCCAGGUACUUAAGACCUUUGUCUAUCAAUUUGCCACCAUUUUAUUGUGGACUAUUCUGUAAGUCUGAAAAAAACGUUGUUUAUAGAUAAAUCUUUCUUCUAUCUUGUGUUUUCUGCUGAAGUAUUCUUUCUAAUUUAACCGUCUCACUACCCUGCUUAAAAUCCUUCAAGGUGUCAUCAGUAUCUCUGAUAGAUAUUCUCUACCUUUUUUGGUAGGUGUGACUGCCUGGGGGUGAUUUUGCGAGCUGGGCAAAGAGAGGACACCAAGGGGAUGAGAGACUGAAGAGGUGGAGUCGAUGUUGGUCCAGAGGACGAUUAGAAUCAGGGUACAUAUCUGGACGCUGCCUCCCCUUCCUCCAGUCUGGGCUGGAGUCUAGAAGAAUAUCUUUCCUUAACAGAAUGAGGUGUAUGUGACACCCUUCACGUCCUGUUUCCAACGGAGUGUGGUUCCAGGGCUAGCAGCUCGAGUGUCUCCUAAAAGCCUCAUCAGAAAUGCAGAUGUCAGGCCCCGCUGGGCCUGCUGCAUCAGAAUCCGCAUCUUAACAAGAUGCCUCGAGUGAUGGUGUGCGCAGGAAAUUAAACCACUGCCUUGAGGCUCAGAGGAUGCUUCUGGGGUUGGAGGAAACUCAGUUCAAGAGUUAAUCAAACAUGUCAGGACUCCUUCCCUUGGAGUCCACGGCCCUGGACCCUCCAGUCAGUACUCCCUUAAUCCCCUAAUGUCAUCCCGACACAGCACCUGCCACACUGUGCAUCACUGUCAGUCUCCCCUUCUAGAUGGAGCACCGUUUAGUCCCAGAUGGUCUGUUUUCCCUCCCUGCGCACGUUGUCUGAAUGACCAAUGUGUAAAUGAAUAAAUGAGACUUCACGUGAGGUUCCAGGCAUCCUCUUAUUCGGUGCUUUAUUCUGUAUUGACUUUGGGGCAGAGAGAAAGCCACCUUCUGAGCUGCUCCAUGCCCUCUGAUGUCAUGAGGCAAUGGGUUUCCUUGUAACAGAGGAUGCCCUUACCACCCUCUUGGGAAUGGCAAACACUUUAAAAACAUUCUCCUUGAAGCGUACUUUCCAUUCGUAAAAGUGCACAUAUCAGAAGUGUAUAGCUCUCUGAACUUUAUAAAUUGAACUCGCCAGUGCGGUCAGCACCCAGGUUAGAUACAGAACAUUUCCCCACCCCAGUAGACGCCCCCCUCGCAUUCCCUUCCAGUGUCUAUAAUCUCGCUCCCCAGGGGUGACCACUGCCUGACUUCCAGUAACAUACUAUAUGUCUACUAUAUGUUUUGCUAUCUAUGUUUCCUGUGUAUAAAUGCAGACAUACAGCAGGUACUCUCACGCCUAGCUUCUUUGGCUCAUUAUGUGUGUGAGAUUCCUCCACACUGUCAUGUGUUGUUCCAGGUUGUGCCUUCUCAUUGCUGACUAGUAUAACAUGUGUGGGAGGAGGAUGAUUUAUGUAUCCCUUCUCCUGUGGAUGGACCUUUAGUUCUGGGUGAUUAUGAAUCGUGCUGCUGUGGGCAUCCCAGAACAUGUCUUUUGGCAAACAAUUAUAGCCAAGUUUGUUUGAUUUUUGUUUUUUUAAAGAUUGGCACCUGAGCUAACAACCGUUGCCAAUCUUUUUUUUUUCUUCCUGCUUUUUAUCCCCAAAUCC